rnacentral:rRNA from 1 species
AACGAACGCUGGCGGCAUGCCUAACACAUGCAAGUCGAACGAGACCUUCGGGUCUAGUGGCGCACGGGUGCGUAACGUGUGGGAACCUGCCCGUAGGUUCGGAAUAACUCCCCGAAAGGGGUGCUAAUACCGGAUAAUGUCUUCGGACCAAAGAUUUAUCGCCUUUGGAUGGGCCCGCGUUGGAUUAGCUAGUUGGUAGGGUAAAAGCCUACCAAGGCGACGAUCCAUAGCUGGUCUGAGAGGAUGAUCAGCCACACUGGGACUGAGACACGGCCCAGACUCCUACGGGAGGCAGCAGUGGGGAAUAUUAGACAAUGGGCGAAAGCCUGAUCCAGCAAUGCCGCGUGAGUGAUGAAGGCCUUAGGGUUGUAAAGCUCUUUUACCCGGGAUGAUAAUGACAGUACCGGGAGAAUAAGCUCCGGCUAACUCCGUG